rnacentral:rRNA from 1 species
UACGGAGGGGGCGAGCGUUGUCCGAAGUUACUGGGCGUAAAGCGCGCGUAGGCGGGUUGGCAAGUCCGCUGUGAAAGCCCGGUGCUUAACGCCGGAGGGUCGGUGGAUACUGCCAGUCUUGAAGGUGCUAGGGGAAGAUGGAAUUCCCGGUGUAGCGGUGAAAUGCGCAGAUAUCAGGAGGAACACCGAUGGCGAAGGCAGGUCUCUGGGCAUUAACUGACGCUGAGGAGCGAAAGCAUGGGGAGCGAACAGG